rnacentral:rRNA from 1 species
UGCGCAAGUCAUUGGGACUUAAAGCGAAACCUAAAGGCAAAAUGAAAGUGAAUCGUAUGUGUGUGCGGCGUGUGUGCCAUUCGUGGUGCGCGCGCACAACGCACACACACAGAGGGAGGAUGGGCCGACCCAUAGUUGGCCGGCCCCGCACUCCCAGGGCGUCUCGAGUUCAAUGCGAACUGAGGCGCACCUAGAGCGUACACGCUGGGACCCGAAAGAUGGUGAACUAUGCCUGGUCAGGACGAAGUCAGGGGAAACCCUGAUGGAGGUCCGUAGCGAUUCUGACGUGCAAAUCGAUCGUCGGAACUGGGUAUAGGGGCGAAAGACUAAUCGAACCAUCUAGUAGCUCGUUCCUU